GAUUGUGUUUAUUCAAAGCCAGUCACCAUUGCUCACCCGUCUGACUUCCUCUGGGUGUGUGUAGACGGGCGUGCGUGUGACCGCAUCUGUGCACCGGGGAAGGUGCUGUGGGCUUUGCGCUGAGCCGAGGUGGGGCUUCUCCUGUCCGCCCGGUCCUGGGCUCCCGCGGCCGGCAGGGGCGGUGCCGAUGCUGCAGGAGGGUCAGGAGCCACUGCCUCGUGCUCAGCCCCACGGGAGCCCGUCUGUGUGCCCUGCAGCAGGAAGGACCCACCAGGUGACCAGAAUUGGUUAACACCUACAGGCCUGGCUCACCCAACCAAACAUACAGCCAGGCUGAGGUCAGGAUGGUGGAAGAGCUGGUGGAGGUGAUGAGGUACCAGAGCAACCUCGAAGAAAGGUGAGAGGCAGGGGACCACCAAAGGCAAACCUGGAACACCUGGUGACUCCGGCUAACUCUCCAUGUGGUGUCCAAGAGGACUUUUCUGAUGCUGCUACCACUGCUAAUAGUAAUAAAAAUUACUAUUUAAUGUGUUUACUAUGUGUUGGGUGCGCAAAUAUUGUGGAAAGAGUGAACAUAAGUGCAGAAUGCUUAAUAAAUGUGAUCUCUUUUUAUCUUCAAAA